AGUGAACGCUGGCGGUAGGCCUAACACAUGCAAGUCGAACGGCAGCACAGUAAGAGCUUGCUCUUACGGGUGGCGAGUGGCGGACGGGUGAGGAAUACAUCGGAAUCUACUUUUUCGUGGGGGAUAACGUAGGGAAACUUACGCUAAUACCGCAUACGACCUACGGGUGAAAGCAGGGGAUCUUCGGACCUUGCGCGAUUGAAUGAGCCGAUGUCGGAUUAGCUAGUUGGCGGGGUAAAGGCCCACCAAGGCGACGAUCCGUAGCUGGUCUGAGAGGAUGAGCAGGCACACUGGAACUGAGACACGGUCCAGACUCCUACGGGAGGCAGCAGUGGGGAAUAUUGGACAAUGGGCGCAAGCCUGAUCCAGACAUACCGCGUGGGUGAAGAAGGCCUUCGGGUUGUAAAGCCCUUUUGUUGGGAAAGAAAAGCAGCAGGUUAAUACCCCGCUGUUCUGACGGUACCCAAAGAAUAAGCACCGGCUAACUUCGUG
rnacentral:rRNA from 1 species